GCUCAGGACGAACGCUGGCGGCGUGCCUAAUACAUGCAAGUCGAACGCUUUUUCUUUCACCGGAGCUUGCUCCACCGAAAGAAAAAGAGUGGCGAACGGGUGAGUAACACGUGGGUAACCUGCCCAUCAGAAGGGGAUAACACUUGGAAACAGGUGCUAAUACCGUAUAACACUAUUUUCCGCAUGGAAGAAAGUUGAAAGGCGCUUUUGCGUCACUGAUGGAUGGACCCGCGGUGCAUUAGCUAGUUGGUGAGGUAACGGCUCACCAAGGCAACGAUGCAUAGCCGACCUGAGAGGGUGAUCGGCCACACUGGGACUGAGACACGGCCCAGACUCCUACGGGAGGCAGCAGUAGGGAAUCUUCGGCAAUGGACGAAAGUCUGACCGAGCAACGCCGCGUGAGUGAAGAAGGUUUUCGGAUCGUAAAACUCUGUUGUUAGAGAAGAACAAGGAUGAGAGUAAAACGUUCAUCCCUUGACGGUAUCUAACCAGAAAGCCACGGCUAACUACGUGCCAGCAGCCGCGGUAAUACGUAGGUGGCAAGCGUUGUCCGGAUUUAUUGGGCGUAAAGCGAGCGCAGGCGGUUUCUUAAGUCUGAUGUGAAAGCCCCCGGCUCAACCGGGGAGGGUCAUUGGAAACUGGGAGACUUGAGUGCAGAAGAGGAGAGUGGAAUUCCAUGUGUAGCGGUGAAAUGCGUAGAUAUAUGGAGGAACACCAGUGGCGAAGGCGGCUCUCUGGUCUGUAACUGACGCUGAGGCUCGAAAGCGUGGGGAGCGAACAGGAUUAGAU
rnacentral:rRNA from 1 species